rnacentral:rRNA from 1 species
CACACGGUGAACUGAAAUAUCUAAGUAGCCGUGGAAAAGAAAUCAAAAGAGAUUCCCUGAGUAGUGACGAGCGAAACGGGAACAGCCCAAACCAUACAAUACGUGUAGGUAGCUUCUGUAUGUAUGGGGUUGUAGGAAUAGUAUUCGGGGAGGCUAAUAAACCGAAUAUAGUAUAUGAAUAUUAAGAGAAUCACGAUGGAACGUGAGCCACAGAGGGUGAAAGCCCCGUAUCUUAAAGUAUUUUUAUAUUGUAUCUACUAUUUCCUGAGUAGGAUCAGGCACGUGUAACCUGGUUUGAAUCUGGGGAGCCCACUCUCCAAGGCUAAAUAGUAUUUGAGAUCGAUAGCGAACUAGUACCAUGAGGGAAAGGUGAAAAGAACCCCGGGAGGGGAGUGAAAUAGAACCUGAAACUUUAUGCCUUUAAAGAGAUGGAGCCUACGGGUGACAUCGUACUUUUUGUAGAACGGACCAACGAGUUAGUGAAUGCGGCAAGGUUAAAGCAGUUAUAGCUGGAGCCGUAGUGAAAGCGAGCCUGAAUAGGGCGAAUAGUCGCAUUUACUAGACCCGAAACUAGGUGAGCUUCCCAUGAGCAGGCUGAAGCGAUGGUAAAACAUCGUGGAGGGCCGAACCAUUUGGAGCUGCAAGUCCAUUGGAUGACUUGUGGGAAGGAGUGAAAAGCUAAUCGAACCUAGAGAUAGCUGGUUCUCCGCGAAAUAGCUUUAGGGCUAGCGUCAGUCAACUAUUAUAGAGGGGUAGAGCUCUGAUAGGGCUAGCGGGAGGCGACUCUUAGCAAACCCUGAUAAACUUCGAAUACUCUAUAAAUUAUACUGGCAGUCAGACAGUGACAGAUAAGUGCCAUUGUCAAGAGGGAAACAGCCCAGACUACUAUCUAAGGUCCCUAAUUCAUAACUAAGUGGAAAAUGAUGUGAGAUUGCUGAGACAACCAGGAGGUUGGCUUAGAAGCAGCCACUCCUUUAAAGAGUGCGUAAUAGCUCACUGGUCAAGCGAUCUUGCGCAGAAAAUUCAACGGGGCUAAGUUAUGAACCGAAGAUGUAGAAUUGUUUACAAUUGGUAGCGGAGCGUUCCGUAUGUUGAUGAAGGUGAAGGGUGACCUUUGCUGGAGAUAUCGGAAGUGAAAAUGUUGGUAUGAGUAACGUAAUGAAGAUGAAAACUCUUCACACCGGAUACCCAAGGUUUCCUACGCAACGUCAGUCGACGUAGGGUUAGUCGGUCCUAAGGUGCAACCGAAAGGUGGAGCUGAUGGAUAGCAGGUUAAUAUUCCUGCACUAUGUAUAUCAGUGAAGGGGGGACAUAUCGGGAUAUAAAGGACUCUGAAUGAAUUGAGUUACGAAAACAAGUCUGAGAAUUUAGGAAAAUCCGGAUUCUUAAGGGCGAGUUUAGUUAUGGUGAAUGUACUAGCUUGCUAGUAUUGCAAUCGGCCUUUACUAUAUUCUGGUAUCGAGAAAAGCCUCUAAACUUAUGGUAUAUGUAACCGUACCGAAAACGAACACUCGUGGGUUAGUGGAGAACACUAAGGUGGACGAGAUAACCAUGGUUAAGGAACUCGGCAAAACAGCGGUCGUAACUUCGGGAUAAGACCUGCCUUCAGAUUAAUUUAGUCUGGAGGCCGCAGCGAAAGAACUCAGGCGACUGUUUACCAAAAACACAGCUCUCUGCAAACUCGUAAGAGGAUGUAUAGGGGGUGAUGCCUGCCCAGUGCUAGAAGGUUACGUGGAUCUGUGCAAGCAGUGAAAUUAAGCCCUAGUGAACGGCGGCCGUAACUAUAACGGUCCUAAGGUAGCGAAAUUCCUUGUCGGGUAAGUUCCGACCCGCACGAAUGGCAUAACGGUCUGAGUACUGUCU